rnacentral:lncRNA from 1 species
CUAUUUAUCUUUCUCUCUAAUUUCUCUCGUGAAGGACCGCAGAGUUUCGAAAGCAUUGCUGGCCUUGACAGGCAACCACCGACUUUUUCAUGUCCUUUCCUUCCCUUCUCCUCUCUUUUUUCCUUUUUUUUUUCUCUCUCAUUCCAUUUUUGCUGGCAUUCCAAAUCGAAUGCCUAAGCUGCAUUGGUUGGCCGUUGGUAUAGUUUUGCGAACCAUGUCUAAAACAUAAUAUUUGCCUUAACAAACAUCAUUUGUUGCAACCAUGGCCUC